rnacentral:rRNA from 1 species
CAAUAGCGUAUAUUAAAGUUGUUGCAGUUAAAAAGCUCGUAGUUGGAUUUCUGGUGGGAGCGAUCGGUCUGGCGCUUAGCGCGAGUACUUGCAUCGUCUCCGGCCAUCCUUGGGGAGAGUCUGUCUGGCAUUAGGUUGUCGGGCAGAGGAUCCUCAUCGUUUACUGUGAAAAAAUUAGAGUGUUCAAAGCAGGCUUAUGCCGUUGAAUAUGUUAGCAUGGAAUAAUAAGAUAGGACUUUGGUACUAUUUUGUUGGUUUGCGCACCAAAGUAAUGAUUAAUAGGGACAGUUGGGGGUAUUCGUAUUCCGUUGUCAGAGGUGAAAUUCUUGGAUUUCUGGAAGACGAACUACUGCGAAAGCAUUUACCAAGGAUGUUUUCAUUAA